UCAAUAAAAAUCAAAAAAAUAUCCUCUGUGAAUCUUAAUACAAUACAUCGCUAGCUAGUAAAAUAGUCAUCUUAUAUUUUCACAUGGCCAUCCUAAGAGGUAGAGUUGGAACGAGCUAUCUUAUCAAUAAAUACUCCCAGGCCCGUAUCUCCCAAAUUUAUUUGAAAACCUAAGCCCGUCUGAACAUAUUAAAAAUUAGGAGCUGCCCAAUUUGAAAAGUCCUUAACUUGCAAUGUACCAAAAUAAUUAAAUUUUUGAUGGAAACAUUAAAGAGAAUUAACGGAUUAA